rnacentral:lncRNA from 1 species
AACUGUAUUGAAUAUUAUUGUAUAGCAAUAUAAUAUAUCCCACAGAAAGUAAUCAAAAGUUAGCGUGCAAUAAAUUCUAAUAUUGCACUAGUGCAAUAAAUCUUCAAAAUUCAUGAUGUCAUCAACGACGAAAUCUUAGUUUAAACCAAUUUUUCCUUUUAAAUAUUAUAUUGCUAUACAAUAAAAGGGUUAUUGCAUGAAUACUGGGGGAAUAUUGUCCCUCGUAGAACAUAUAUUGCACUCGCAAGCUCGUGCAAUAUAAAAUUCUACUCAGGACAAUAUUCCCCAAUAUUCAUGCAAUAACCCUAUAGUAUUGAUUGUCCUUGAUUGGCAUGGAUAAUGGGUAUCUCAUAAAUAUAGGUGAGUAAAUAGGUUUUAAGUAAGUAGAAAGUAUUAAAAUAGUGGUGUUUGUCUAUUUUUUAAAAACCUCCUGCUGAAGAGAAGGGGGAAUGCCCAUCAAAAUCAUUUUUUUUUUAUGUCCAUCAGAAAUUCAAAACGCAUUUAACAUUUAUAUCUAGUGGAUUCCAGGCCUUAAAACUUUUACAACUGGACAGGCAAUUCUGUACUCUGAGUAUCGGUAGUUUUGAGCCGAAAAUACAGUUAUUUUUGUCCAUGUGUUAUGAUGAACCAAACGAGUGCUUACAAAGAUUUUUUUCAUAUAAUUAAUAAAUACAAAACUCUUUUAAUAAAAUACUAGCUGAUCCACAUUGAUUUUCAAACAUGUCCAAAUUGAUUUUAAUCUUUUAUAUAAAUUUGAUGCAAAUCUGUCGAGAAAUUUCUUUACAAUUAAUAUUUUCCAUGUUUUAAAGGGCACAACUCUUUGAACUAGAACGUUUAUUUCUAACUAUUCAAAAACAUUCUGUUUUGCUCUUUGACACAUUUCCCAUUCACAAUUUUAUUUCACUCAAGAACAAAUAUUUUUUAAGAAAU